rnacentral:rRNA from 1 species
UACGGGGGGAGCAAGCGUUGUUCGGAUUUACUGGGCGUAAAGGGCGCGUAGGCGGCCAGCGCAAGUCAGUUGUGAAAUCUCCGGGCUUAACUCGGAACGGUCAACUGAUACUGCGCGGCUAGAGUGCAGAAGGGGCAACUGGAAUUCUCGGUGUAGCGGUGAAAUGCGUAGAUAUCGAGAGGAACACCUGCGGCGAAGGCGGGUUGCUGGGCUGACACUGAUGCUGAGGCGCGAAAGCUAGGGGAGCGAACGGG